UACGAAGGGGGCUAGCGUUGCUCGGAAUCACUGGGCGUAAAGCGCACGUAGGCGGGUCGUUAAGUCGGGGGUGAAAUCCUGGAGCUCAACUCCAGAACUGCCUUCGAUACUGGCGAUCUUGAGUCUGGGAGAGGUGAGUGGAACUCCGAGUGUAGAGGUGAAAUUCGUAGAUAUUCGGAAGAACACCAGUGGCGAAGGCGGCUCACUGGCCCGGUACUGACGCUGAGGUGCGAAAGCGUGGGAGCAAACAGG
rnacentral:rRNA from 1 species